UGCUGCAAAAGAAAUAGCAAUAUAAAAGUAAAAAAACACACACCAUAAAAAAACAAAAACAAAUAAAUAUGGAGGAGCUGGGUAAAGAAGGAGAAGGUAAAUUGCCUGAUUACAAAGCUUUCAAACUGUAAAAGUGCCCGUGUGUAAUUGUUUUAAAACCGUAAGUGCUUGUUGCUCGUGGAAAUUGAAUUAAAGCUGGGAAAAUACCCCCCCACACACACAUACACGCAUGCACAGGCGAUCUGAUUGCAUUAUCGCAGGACCUCGCUCUCCGGCUUCCAUCCUCUCCUUCGCCGCUGCUUCAUUCUCUUCCCCUCUUCCAAUUGGAAAAUUGCACGAAGGUCACACACACAAACAUAUACGCGCGGGCGCGCGAAUAGAUAGAUGCUUUUAUUUUGCAUUUGUUUAGAGCAGAAUAUUUAAACAUGUAUAAAUCUACGUUUUAUAAAUAAAUCGAAUUAGUUACGCCGGCAGAAGAAGCGCGUGCAGCAGCAACAACAAACAUGCGGAGCAGCAAAACUAGACGGCGCAAAGAAAACGAAAGAUUAGAGGAAUGCUGCGGCGAACGGGAGCGAUCAUGAACGCUUACCAACCCAGCUGGUCGAGCUUUAUAAUUGUUGUGCGACAGAACUUUACGCCAACGUAAAUGGCCAAAUUAAUUUUUUUUGCCGCUAAUGCAGCGACAGUGUUGCCAAA